GGGGCCAUAAGCUCAGCUGGAGAGCGCUGCCUUGCAAGCAGGGGAGGUCAGCGGUUCGAUCCGCUUGGCUCCACCA
rnacentral:tRNA from 1 species